UUCCACUCAAAUUCACUUAACAACCGUACAAUAUGCUGACUUCUACCCUCGUCUCUGUCUCUUGGUUUUCCUAAGAUACCUUGUUUCCAUAGAUACCUUGUUUCCAUAGAUACCUUGUUUCCAUGCUGUUGCUUACAUCUUUCUUGCUCAUCUUAGUCACAGUGACUAAGGCUAUUUAGGACCACCAGGUAGAUGCGAAGCUUUCCUAGAAGCCACUAUGUUACUUAAGACUUCUGGGAGAUUUCUGAGAAAUAGGCAGACGGACUGGUAUGGAAUUAAAAGCCUUUCCUGAGCAGGAGGAAGGAAGACAUAGGGUCCAGGAAAUCUUCCCUGAAGACAGCUGCCACAGUAGGCAUCGCCUCCUUUGGACCUGGUAAGUUCUGCUGUAAACAGUUCCCAGGCUCCUUCGUGACUCCCCAAAGUCAAUUCCUCCUUCCUGUGGGCAGAAGUCCUUCCUUGGCUGCCACUGUGAAGGCUGCUUGGUUUCCGCAUCAAGUGCCCUUCCCACCAUCUUCUAACUAGCACUAAGUAUUCAAACAACGAAGGACUGCCGUAUGAUCACCCUGGGUCAGCGCUGUUCUGUGGGAUUCACAUCCGCUCUGGGACAGUGGUUGACUUGUGUCUGACAAUUGCUUCGUCUGGAGCCCAACUUGAGGACUCCCCAAUCAGCUUUCCAUGAUUUCCUUGGGACCUUUGCUGGCUGGAAGACUGAGAAGAGGGAAUCACGGGUGAAAGUGGACCUGGAACAAUCAAUCCUCUUCCUCAAAGUCGCCAUUUAAGAACUCUCCCAUGAGUCAAUCCGAAUCCUGCUGGUGACAGCGCCCCUCCCUUCAUUAUGGGUGAGCACGUUCUGAGUUAGGAAAAGGAGCUCCCAAUAUUUGGAAUUUUGCUGCCCUUGUAUCUUUGUACCUCACCACAAGCAGAAGCCUUAGGCUCCUAUUUCCAGUCGUUUUUUGUUUACAGGCUUUGUUUGUUUGUUUGGGUUAUUUUGGAUGCAGGGUUUCUUCAAGUAGCCCUGACUAUCCUUAACUUGCUCUGUAGACCAGGCUGGCUUUGAACUCACAGAGAUCCUACCUCCUCUCCCCCACCUGCCCAGUGCUGGGUUUAAAAGCAUGGACCCCAUCACCCUUUUUAUUUACUGACUUUUAAAUAAAUAUUGAGAAGAACCA